AUCCCCAUAUAGGCCAGCUGCCAAAAAACCCCGAAAAAACCCAUCAUGUAAGAGGCUAACACAGAAGGGUAAAAUAAGUCUUCAUGAAACCCAGAGAAAAGAUUGUAAAACUCCUCUUUAGAUCCUGUCUGAAGUCAUAGCU